rnacentral:rRNA from 1 species
GGAAGGAUCAUUAACGAAUAUAAUUCGAGGGGUUGUCGCUGGCCUCGCUCGCUCGCGCGAGGGAGGCAUGUGCACGCUUCUUGUUUUUCAUAACUCUCACCUGUGCACCUAAUGUAGGAUGCCUCUCCUCCGGGAGGGGGGACCUAUGUCUUCAUAUACAUCUUCGUGUAGAAAGUCUUUGAAUGUUUACUAUCAUCGAGUCGCGACUUCUAGGAGACGCGAUUCUUUGAGAUAAAAGUUAUUACAACUUUCAGCAAUGGAUCUCUUGGCUCUCGCAUCNAUGAAGAACGCAGCGAAAAGCGAUAUGUAAUGUGAAUUGCAGAUCUACAGUGAAUCAUCGAAUCUUUGAACGCACCUUGCGCUCCUCGGUGUUCCGAGGAGCAUGCCUGUUUGAGUGUCAGUAAAUUCUCAACCCCUCUCGAUUAGCUUCGAGAGGGUGCUUGGAUAGUGGAGGUUGCCGGAGACUCGGAUUCGUCCAGGACUCGGGCUCUUCUGAAAUGCAUUGGCUUGCGGUCGACUUUCGACUAUGCUCGACAAGGCUUUCGGCGUGAUAAUGAUCGCCGUUCGCCGAAGCGCAUGACCGAAGGUUCCGUGCCUCUAAUACGUCGACCACUUAUUAUCUCUCCGGAGAGAACAGGGUCUUCCUUAUUGACUUUUGACCUCAAA